GAUAGUUUUCUCAAGGCAGAAUGUAUUCCUAUUUAAAGUCCGCUUAUGACCAGAUUUAGACCUGUAUUUUCAAGCUUCUAUUAACUUCGAGUCCUUCCUACAUCUUCAAUGUAUACUUCAAGUGCAUAAUCUAUUUAAUUAGUGAAUUUGGGCGUGUGAAUUAUGGCAUUUAAAACAUCGUUUUUACGUCCGCCAUUGUUUUGGUGUGAUCUCUCUUGAGCCCGCGAAAAGGAUGCGGUUUCUCACCUCCUACGUCACAUACUCAAUACGCUUCGCGAGCUCAGACGCCGCUUCUAGUUGAAAAUACUCAAGAAUUUCUUUUAUCUCGACACUUUCCGAACUAAAGUCUUAUGGCUUAGUUAACGAGGCAGCGCAGUAUUUCAGAAAGCGAAGAGUUAUCCGUAAGCUCUAGUUUUGACUCAGAGUCGGAGCUUCUUGAAUCACAACCCGAGCUUUUGGAUAGUGAAUUUCAUGGCUACGACGAAAGCCUCGAUCCCGUCCCAAACGAGGAAGAGGCUGCUGAAUACGAGCAGCAACUCCACGAGGAGAAUGAGCAAGAAGAGGAGCUUCUCCGAAGAUUUUCAAGGGAGCAAGUAUUUCCACAUGGUUCAAGUGAUCGAACUGUUCGCUCAAGUUAUUAGUCACAAAGGAAGAAUGCCGAUGCUGCACAGAGUUUGCAACAUGCAGCGAAAAAUUACAAGAAGUUGGUUUGGAGGGAUGCAUUGUUGACCAUCCAGGAUUCAGUGUGAAUUGCCUCAACGAGUGGGUACUACGGACAGCAGCUGUUGGAC